rnacentral:rRNA from 1 species
AUACGUAGGGGGCGAGCGUUGUCCGGAAUGACUGGGCGUAAAGGGUGCGUAGGCGGCUGAACAAGUCAGGUGUGAAAACCAUCGGCUCAACUGAUGGAUUGCACUUGAAACUGUGCAGCUUGAGUGAAGCAGAGGCAGGCGGAAUUCCCGGUGUAGCGGUGAAAUGCGUAGAGAUCGGGAGGAACACCAGUGGCGAAGGCGGCCUGCUGGGCUUUAACUGACGCUGAGGCACGAAAGCAUGGGUAGCAAACAGGAUUAGAUGCCCUGGUAGUCCAUGCCGUAAACGAUGAUUACUAGGUGUGGGUGGUCUGACCCCAUCCGUGCCGGAGUUAACACAAUAAGUAAUCCACCUGGGGAGUACGGCCGCAAGGUUGAA